rnacentral:tRNA from 1 species
GGCCUCGUAGCUCAGUCAGCGUUGGCUGUACUAAAGCCUUCCCCUUGCUGGCGUGGGUUCGAAUCCCACCGAGGCCG